rfam:Algoriphagus sp. A40 NODE_81_length_356_cov_12.4565_ID_161, whole genome shotgun sequence.
AAGUAAGUGAUUAAGGGCGCACGGGGGAUGCCUAGGCUCUCAGAGGCGAGGAAGGACGUGAUAAGCUGCGAAAAGCCACGGGGAUCGGCCAAUACGAAAUGAUCCGUGGAUG